rnacentral:rRNA from 1 species
CCUACGGGCGGCAGCAGUGAGGAAUAUUGGUCAAUGGACGCAAGUCUGAACCAGCCAUGCCGCGUGCAGGAAGACGGCUCUAUGAGUUGUAAACUGCUUUUGUACGAGGGUAAACGCAGAUACGUGUAUCUGUCUGAAAGUAUCGUACGAAUAAGGAUCGGCUAACUCCGGGCCAGCAGCCGCGGUAAUACGGAGGAUUCAAGCGUUAUCCGGAUUUAUUGGGUUUAAAGGGUGCGUAGGCGGUCGGAUAAGUUAGAGGUGAAAGCCCGUGGCUCAACUUCGGAAUUGCCUCUGAAACUGUUCGGCUAGAGAGUAGUUGCGGUAGGCGGAAUGUAUGGUGUAGCGGUGAAAUGCUUAGAGAUCAUACAGAACACCGAUUGCGAAGGCAGCUUACCAAGCUACUACUGACGUUGAGGCACGAAAGCGUGGGGAGCAAACAGGAUUAGAUACCCGGGUAGUC